GACGAACGCUGGCGGCGUGGAUUAGGCAUGCAAGUCGAACGGUAUCAUCCUUUCGGGGGUGAGAGAGUGGCGAACUGGUGAGUAACACGUAGGUUAUCUACCCUCAAGACGGGGGACAACCCAGGGAAACUUGGGCUAAUACCGGAUGUGAGCAACUUUUAGUUGUUUGAAAGGUGGCGUAAGCUGUCGCUUGGGGAUGAGCCUGCGUCCUAUUAGUUAGUUGGUGAGGUAACGGCUCACCUAGGCAAUGAUAGGUAGGCGGCCUUAACGGGUGGUCGCCCACACUGGGAUUGAGAUACGGCCCAGACUCCUACGGGAGGCAGCAGUCGAGAAUAGUCUACAAUGGUCGGAAGACUGAUAGUGCGACGCCGCGUGAACGAUGAAUCCCUUCGGGGUGUAAAGUUCUUUUCUAUACGAGCAGUGCUAUAUAUAUGGAUAGUAUAUAUAGAGGGAUAGUAGUAUAGGAAUAAGCAACGGCUAACUCCGUGCCCAGCAGCCGCGGU
rnacentral:rRNA from 1 species